rnacentral:rRNA from 1 species
AACGAACGCUGGCGGCAUGCCUAACACAUGCAAGUCGAACGAGACCUUCGUGUCUAGUGGCGCACGGGUGCUUAACGCGUGGGAACCUGCCCUUAGGUUCGGAAUAACUCCCCGAAAGGGGUGCUAAUACCGGAUAAUGUCUUCGGACCAAAGAUUUAUCGCCUUUGGAUGGGCCCGCGUUGGAUUAGCUAGUUGGUAGGGUAAAAGCCUACCAAGGCGACGAUCCAUAGCUGGUCUGAGAGGAUGAUCAGCCACACUGGGACUGAGACACGGCCCAGACUCCUACGGGAGGCAGCAGUGGGGAAUAUUGGACAAUGGGCGAAAGCCUGAUACAGCAAUGCCGCGUGAGUGAUGAAGGCCUUAGGGUUGUAAAGCUCUUUUACCCGGGAUGAUAAUGACAGUAACGGGAGAAUAAGCUCCGGCUAACUCCGUG